GAUGAACGCUGGCGGCGUGCCUAAUACAUGCAAGUCGAGCGAACAGACGAGGAGCUUGCUCCUUUGACGUUAGCGGCGGACGGGUGAGUAACACGUGGAUAACCUACCUAUAAGACUGGGAUAACUUCGGGAAACCGGAGCUAAUACCGGAGAAUAUAUUGAACCGCAUGGUUCAAUAGUGAAAGACGGUGUUGCUGUCACUUAUAGCUGGAUCCGCGCCGGAUUAGCUAGUUGGUAAGGUAACGGCUUACCAAGGCAACGAUGCGUAGCCGACCUGAGAGGGUGAUCGGCCACACUGGAACUGAGACACGGUCCAGACUCCUACGGGAGGCAGCAGUAGGGAAUCUUCCGCAAUGGGCGAAAGCCUGACGGAGCAACGCCGCGUGAGUGAUGAAGGUCUUCGGAUCGUAAAACUCUGUUAUUAGGGAAGAACAAAUGUGUAAGUAACUAUGCACGUAUUGACGGUACCUAAUCAGAAAGCCACGGCUAACUACGUG
rnacentral:rRNA from 1 species